UACGUAGGGGGCAAGCGUUGUUCGGAAUUACUGGGCGUAAAGGGCGCGUAGGCGGCACGGCAAGUCAGGAGUGAAAGCCCGGGGCUCAACCCCGGAAUGUCUUUUGAAACUGCCGAGCUAGAGUGCGGAAGAGGCAACUGGAAUUCCCAGUGUAGCGGUGAAAUGCGUAGAUAUCUGGAGGAACACCGGUGGCGAAGGCGGCAUCCUGGACCAACACUGACGCUGAGUGAGCGAAAGCCAGGGGAGCAAACGGG
rnacentral:rRNA from 1 species